AUUGAACGCUGGCGGAAUGCUUUACACAUGCAAGUCGAACGGCAGCACGGGGCAACCUGGUGGCGAGUGGCGAACGGGUGAGUAAUACAUCGGAACGUGCCCAAUCGUGGGGGAUAACGUAGCGAAAGUUACGCUAAUACCGCAUACGAUCUACGGAUGAAAGCGGGGGAUCGCAAGACCUCGCGCGAAUGGAGCGGCCGAUGUCAGCUUAGGUAGUUGGUGGGGUAAAGGCUCACCAAGCCGACGAUCUGUAGCUGGUCUGAGAGGACGACCAGCCACACUGGGACUGAGACACGGCCCAGACUCCUACGGGAGGCAGCAGUGGGGAAUUUUGGACAAUGGGCGCAAGCCUGAUCCAGCCAUUCCGCGCGCAGGAUGAAGGCCUUCGGGUUGUAAACUGCUUUUGUACGGAGCGAAAAGGCUCUCUCUAAUACAGGGGGCUCAUGACGGUACCGUAAGAAUAAGCACCGGCUAACUACGUGCCAGCAGCCGCGGUAAAAC
rnacentral:rRNA from 1 species